rnacentral:rRNA from 1 species
CAGCCGCCGCGGGAAUACAGAGGGUGCGAGCGUUAAUCGGAUUUACUGGGCGUAAAGCGUGCGUAGGCGGCUUUUUAAGUCGGAUGUGAAAUCCCUGAGCUUAACUUAGGAAUUGCAUUCGAUACUGGGAAGCUAGAGUAUGGGAGAGGAUGGUAGAAUUCCAGGUGUAGCGGUGAAAUGCGUAGAGAUCUCGAGGAAUACCGAUGGCGAAGGCAGCCAUCUGGCCUAAUACUGACGCUGAGGUACGAAAGCAUGGGGAGCAAACAGGAUUAGAUACCCCAGUAGUCCCUGUCUCUUAUAC